CCCGGCCAGCGUCCCAGGUCCACCGCGGGGGCGUGGAGGGCCAGGGAGGUCAGCGACCCUGGAACUCAGUCCAGCAGCCUGUGGGGCAGAAAGUCAGGCUGCAGGCAGGUCUGAGUCUCCUCAAUCCUUAAAUGUCUGAAAAGCCGGGCAGAGACCGGAUGUUCCCAGCAACUUCCAUUAUUUCAGAAGCACGUCACCUUUAUUUUGAUGGGUGACAAAUUGGUGGCACAGCCUCCACGCACGUCACACAGGUCUGUAGUAUCUACAGAGCCUUCUCUGAGCCUCUCCGUGCCAGGGCCGAUGUGGGCUGGGCAGCUGUAAGGACGUGAUCUUGCCUCCUGCCCCAGCUGAAGCAGGAGAUACAGCCUGAGCACCUGGCCGUGCCUGCAGCCCCGCAUGCCCAGAAGGAUUUGGGGAAAGAGGAUCCUGCAGCCAGGUGUAGAUAGGGAAGCCUCCCAACUGUGGAAAGAAACGGAAACUCUGGUGGGACCGGCUCAGAGAAGAUGGAGCAUAUGGGAAGAGACCUGUGUUUGAGAGAGAGAGAGAGAGAGACGGAGGGAAGAAAGACAGAACCCAGCCCUGGGAGGAAAACGUGAUGCUCUCGUGGUUGACAACAACCAACUUGGCCCUCAAGAGAGAAGCAGACUCCUGGCUCUGGCGGAGGGCCAGUUUGCAACAUAGUGGUAGUUCUGUAGCCAUCCGUAUUUAACUUUGUUACAAAACUAAAAGGUCCUAGAAAAUAAAGUUUAUCGGAAGACCAA